UAUAUAUAUAUAUAUAUAUAUAUAUAUAUAGUAGAGCUAGAAUACUUGUAAAAGUAUCACCCAAGUGAUACUUGCGUGUUUUUAGCCCUUGGAUGGAGAGAUGUGAGGUUGAGAUGAUGGUGGUAGGUGGUGGUAGGUGGAAUAGUGUUUGAUCUAAAGGCUAUUAGUAAUCAAAAAGUAGAUCCAAUGGUUAAAAACACACAAGUAUCACUUGGGUGAUACUUGUCUUGUCGUUCGUGCUAUUAAUAGCUAGUAUCGGACUCUAUAGAAUCUAUAUAUAAUGGAUAUAAGAGACGAGAGAGAGCCAGCUAUGUGCUUGUAAAAGCACCACAACGCACUGUGAUCUUGUAAGUUUUACCGUUAAGACUUUACUCGGAUACUUUCCAGACCAUCUAUAAUUUAUAACAUUCAACCCACAGGACCCACACCACUCGCUCCCACCACUCACCCUAAGGGCGUCGCACAUCAUCCUAGAUCCGCGAUAUCUUUUUAAUACCAAUGGCUAAAAAUCUUACAACAGCACCAAUGAUUGGUACUUUUAAAAGCAUAAAGCUCAAGUAUAUAUAAAUACAUAUAUAUAAUAUAUAUAUAUAUAUAUAAGAGNNNNNNNNNNNNNNNNNNNNNNNNNAAAAUAUUCUAGGCCUAUCUAUAUAUAUAGAGUCCGCUACUAUCGCUAUCGGUAGACAGGAGCGCUCCGUGCUACCAAUUGUUUUCGAUGAUCCGGCUUCCAAUCGAUUGAUCGGUCUCCGCUAGACUUGAUCUACACUAUUAAGCGUAUUUUGGAAAACUAAAUUUCAAAUUUUUCGGCAACAUUUGACUGUGAUCAAAGAUCUCAAAAUGACAUUUUAAAUGGCCGAUGUGUGUUUUGUGAGUUUAACGGUUAAAAAUAAUCUAAAUCGAUGAAAAUUUUAUAGAAAAUUCUUUUCACUAUUUAGAGUAAGAUCAGUAUAUCUGAUCUGAAUUUAAAUUUUUAUCUAUUUUCAUGAGAUUUUUAAUUUCAGCCAUUCAAUUUUAAACUACUUGUUUGAUGGGUAUAUAAUUGAUAUCGAAAAAUUAUGAUUUAUUUUCUAAAUACUUUCAAUAGUGUAGAUCAAGUCUAACGAACGAUCAUCGAGUUGAAAGUCGCAUCAUCGAAAACAACUUGUAGCACGGACGCUAUCGUGCUACGAUAGUUAGUAGCCUGUUCAUAAUAGAGCAGACUGCUGUGCUCUCAGCGAGCACGGAGGCCUCGUGCCUGAGCCGUUUCGAUGAUAGGAGGUUUCGAAUCGACGAUCGGCUCCGUUAAACUUGAUCUAGGUCAUUUGAAGUUUCUAGAAAUAAUUUUUUCGAUUUCUUUCGAUAUCAUUUACCUAACAUCGAAAGGAUUCAAAUCAAUUAUUUUUAAACCGGCUGAAUAAAAAUCCUAUAAAAAGUGGUGAUAUAGCACUAAAUUUUCGAUCAGAAAUAUUGAUCCUUGUUGUAGAUAGUAUAAAGAAUUUUGUAUCAAAGUUUUAUCUGAUUGAAUACUUCUACCCGUUAAACUUGAAACGGCAGCAUAUCAAGCAUUUAAAAAUAUGGAUUUUGAAUCUUUCGAUCACUUAGGUAAAUGAUAUCAAAAAAUCGCAAAAAUUAUUCUUUAGAAACUUCAAUGCGCUAGAUCAAGUCUUAAUGGAGCGAUCGUCGAUUCGAAAUUCCAUCAUCGAAAACGACUCAAGAGCACGAGGCCUCCGUGGCUCCUAGACACAGCAGCCCUGCUCUCUGCUCUCUCUCUCUUCUCACUCUCAUCUCUCAUCUUCCUCUAUAUAUAUAUAUAUAAUAUAUAUAUAUAUAAAUAUAUAAUAGAACUAAGGACUAUGCUGAUUAUAGCACCAAGUCAUUGGUGCUAUCAAAGUUUUUGGCCAUUGAUUAAAGAGAUGUUGUGGUUAGGAUGAUGGCGGGCUCCCUAGGGUUGUGUGGAGUUGGUUGAUAGUAUGAUCUAAACGAUGUGAAAAUGAUCAAAAGGAUAGAUUUUAACGGCAGAAAAUUUGGUAGCACAAUUCUUCGGGCUAUUAAAUAGCAUAGUAGUCGGACUCUAUAGAACUAUAUAUAUUAUAGAGAGAGAGAGAGAGCCAGCUAUGGUGCUUGUAAAGCACAAGCACUUGAUGCUUGUAAGUUUUUACCGUUAGAUUUACUGGAUCAUUUCAACCAUUAAAUAUACUAUUCAACCAACCACCCACUCAACCCUAAGGGUCCACAUCAUCCUAAUCGCAUAUCUUUUAAUCCAAUGGCUAAAAUUACAAGCACCAAUGAUUUGGUACUUUUAAAAGCAUAAAGCUCAAGUAUAUAUAUACAUAAUAUAUAUAUAUUAUAUAUAUAUAGAGAGAGAGAGAGAGAGAGAGGAGAGAGGAGAGGAGAAGAGAGAGAGGAGAGAAGAGAAGAGAGAGAGACAGGGCUGCUGUGCUCAGGAGCACGGAGGCCUCCGUGCCUCCUAAAGCCAUAUUUCGAUGAUAGAAUUUUCGAAUCGACGAUCGGCUCCGUUAGACUUGAUCUAACGCAUUUGAAGUUUUAGAAAUAAUUUUUGCGCUUUCGAUAUCAUUUGCCUAGUGAUCGAAAAGAUUCAAAUUCAUAAUUUUUAAUGUUGAUAUCUGCCGUUUUCAAGUUUAACGGUAUAGAAGUAUUCAAAUCAGAUGAAAUUUUGAUACAAAAUUUUUAUAUAUACAAUAAGAUCAAUAUUUCUGAUCGAAAAUUUUAGUGGUAUAUCGCCACUUUUUAUAAGAUUUUAUUUUCAGCCAUUAAAAAUUAUUGAUUUUGAAUCCUUUCGAUUGCUAAGUAAUAAUAUCGAAAAAUCGCAAAAAAUUAUUUUUUAGAAACUUCAAAUCACUAGAUUAAGUUUAACGGAGCGAUCGUCGAUUCGGAAAUUCCAUCAUCGAAAACGGACUUUGCCGGAGGCGCUCCGUGCUCCUGAAGAGCAAGAGAGCUAGAAACUAUUAAUAGCAUUUACCCCUUUUGCUAUCAAGUUUUUAGUUUUGGGAUCAAUUCAUUUUGAUCAUUCUAAUUAUUGAUUAAAUAUUAUAAUCCAGUGGGACAAUCUCAACCAUAGGAGGAACACUUAAUCCUAAAGGACUAAUUAUCAUCUAACUCUACAAUUUCUCAUCAAUGUUAAAAACUUGAUAGCAAAGAGGCAAAAUACUAUCAAUGUAUUCCAGCUCAACUCUCUCUCUCUCUCUCUCUCUCUCUUCUCUCUCUCUCGUAUAUAUAUAUAUAUAUAUAAUAUAUAUAUAUAUAUUAUAUAUAUAUUAUAUAUAUAAUAUAUAUAUUAACUAGGCUACAUACUAUCAAUAGCAUAAAGCUAUGUUGCAAUUAGUUUUUUAGCCCUUGAAUUGAGAAUGUGGCGGUUAGAAUGAUGUGGGCUCUAGGGUUGAGUGCGUGUGUUUGUUGAAUAGUAUAAUUAAGCGCUAAAAUAAUUGAAAGUGUUAAAUCUAACGGUGGAAAACUCGAGUAGCCCAAGCCCUUGGUGCUUAUCGAUAGUAUCCGCAGCCGGCUAUAUAUAAGUCGCGUCUGGGAUACUAUCGAUAGCACAAGGCUCUGUGCUAAUCCAGUUUUCCACCGUUAGAUUUAAUCCUUUGAUAUUUUUACCCGUUGAUUAUACUAUUCAACCAACCACCCACUCAACCCUAGGGGGCCUACAUCAUCCUAACGCACAUUUUUCAAUCCAAGGGCUAAGUUAUGGUGCUAUUAGUUUUCGGCCUCUGGACGAAGAAAUAUACGGUUAGGAUGAUGUGGGUCUCCUAGCAGGUGAGUGUGAGUUGUUGGUUGAGUAGUAUAAUCUAACGGGUGAAAAUAUCAAUGAGCUAAAUCUAUGGUGAAAAAUUUGAUAGCACCAAACGCUUGGUGCUAUCAAUAGUUAUCCCAGCCGGACUCUCUCUCUCUUCUCUCUUCUCUAUAUAUUUAUAAUAUAUAUAUAUAUAUAGAGAGAGAGAGAGAGAGAGAGAGAGAAGUUGAGCUAGAAUACUCUCAAAAGAACCAAGGUGUGGUGUUGGAAAGUUUUUAACCAUUGGAUGGAGAGAUGUAUGUUGAGAUGAUGGUGGUAGUGGUGGUAGGUGGAAUAGUGUUUGAUCCAAGGGGUAUUAGUAAUUAAGGAUUAGAUCCAAGGGUUAGAAAUUUAGAAGCACCAAAGGGUUGUGCUUCUAAAAGUAUUCUAGCUCAAUUCUCUCUCUUCUCUUCUCUCUCUCUCGGCUCUCGAGAGAGAGAGAGAGAGAAAGAGAGAGAGAGAGCAGGGCUGCUGUGCUCUCAGGAGCACGGAGGCCUCCGUGCUCCUAAGCCAUAUUCGAUGAUAGAAUUUUCGAAUCGACGAUCGGCUCCGUUAGACUUGAUCUAACGCAUUUGAAGUUUCUAGAAAAUAAUUUUUGCGCUUUCGAUAUCAUUUGCCUAGUGAUCGAAAAGAUUCAAAAUUCAUAAUUUUUAAUGGUUGAUAUCUGCCGUUUUCAAGUUUAACGGUAUAGAAGUAUUCAAAUCAGAUGAAAUUUUGAUACAAAAUUUUUUAUACUAUCUACAAUAAGAUCAAUAUUUCUGAUCGAAAAUUUUAGUGCUAUAUCGCCACUUUUUAUAAGAUUUUUAUUUUCAGCCAUUAAAAAUUAUUGAUUUUGAAUCCUUUCGAUUGCUAAGUAAAUAAUAUCGAAAAAUCGCAAAAAUUAUUUUUUAGAAACUUCAAAUACACUAGAUUAAGUUUAACGGAGCCGAUCGUCGAUUCGGAAAUUCCAUCAUCGAAAACGGCUUUGGCACGGAGGCCUCCGUGCUCCUGAGAGCACAGCAGGCUAGAAUACUAUUAAUAGCAUUUACCCCCUUUUGCUAUCAAGUUUUUAGUUUUUGGAUCAAUUCUUUUGAUCACUUCUAAUUAUUGGAUUAAAUAUUAUAAUCCAGUGGGGACAACUCAACCAUAGGAGGACCACUUAAUCCUAAAGGACUAAUAUCAUCCUAACUCUACAAUUUCUCAUCCAAUGGUUAAAAACUUGAUAGCAAAAGAGGCAAAAUACUAUCAAUAGUAUUCCAGCUCAACUCUCUCUCUCUCUCUCUCUCUCUCUCUCUCUCUCUCUAUAUAUAUAUAUAUAUAUAUAUAUNNNNNNNNNNNNNNNNNNNNNNNNNCUCGAUUCUAUAUAUAUAUAUAUAUAUAUAUAUAUAUAUAUAGAGAGAGAGAGAGAGAGAGAGAGAGAGAGAGAGUUGAGCUGGAAUACUAUUGAUAGUAUUUUGCAGAUUUUCUUUGCUGAAAGCUACCCUCGCGUUGCAUGGAGCCCGUUUUGCGUCUAGUUGACGCCAAGGCGACUCGGACUUGUCCCGACACUCUCCAGAGCUACUGACAAGCCAUCACAACAGAACACCAGAGAUCUCACAUCCUCUCCCUCCACAAAAAGUUUCGUCCGCGAAACUGAAACGUACCUCAGCUCAGGCAUCAAACAAAUAGGGAUAGGCCUCCCUCAUCACCGUGUCAGGCUCCCAAGUCGCCUCCCGCUCAUCAUGAUUGCUCCACUGAACCUUCACAUACGGGAUGACCCGGUUGCGCAAUUCUUUCAUCUCUCGAGCAAGAAUCUGCAACGGUCGCUCCUCGUAUCUCAUAUCCUCACCAAUCUCUAGUGGAGUGAAGUCAAUCACGUGAGAGGGAUCGAAAAUAUAUCUCCUCAAUGCUGAGACGUGGAAAACAUCGUGGAUGCUAGCAAGUCGCGGGGGUAAAGCGAUCCUGUAUGCAACGGGUUCGAUACGCUCCAAUACCUCGAAAGGGCCAACAAACCGUGGACUAAGCUUUCCACGUACUCCAAAUCGGCAUAUCCCUCUGGACGGCGAGACUUCAAGGAAUACAUGAUCUCCAACCUGGAACUCCAAGUCUCGUCUCCUGAAAUCGGCGUAGCUCCUCUGCCGGCUCUGUGCUGCCAAAAGGUGUCGUCGAACGAUUCUCACCUUUUCCUCAGCCUCAAGUAGAAUCUCCGGUCCAAGUGUCCUCCGCUCACCCACAUCGCUCCAAAACAGGGGGGAUCGACAUCUGCGUCCAUACAACGCCUCAAACGGAGCCAUUUGAAUGCUCGUUUGAUAGCUGUUGUUGUACGCAAACUCAACCAGUCUCACAUGUCGAUACCACCCUCCUCCAAAAUCCAGGACGCAUGCCCUAAGCAUGUCCUCUAAAGUCCGUAUGGUCCGUUCUUACUGACCAUCUGUCUGUAGGUGGAACGCCAUGCUAAAAUGUAGCUGAGUGCCCAAGGCGGUCUGAAGACUCCUCCAAAACUGGGAUACAAAUCUCGGGUCUCUGUCUGAUACAAUCGACACUGGCACGCGGUGCAGCCUAACAAUCUCAUCCAAGUAUAGCUGUGCGAGUCUCUCUCUGGAUCAGGUAGUCUGAACCGGUAGGAAGUGAGCAGACUUGGUCAGUCUGUCACUAUCACCCAGAUCGCGUUGUAGCCACCCUGCGCUCUAGGCAAUCCAACGACGAAGUCCAUAGUGAUGUCCUCCCACUUCCACUCGGGCACUGGCAGACUCUGAAGCUUGCCUGCAGGCACCUGAUGCUCGGCCUUUACCUGUUGGCAAGUCAAACAUUGAGCCACAUAUCUGCCAAUGCCUCUCUUCACUCCAUUCCACCAAACUGUGCCUUUAAGUCCCUAUACAUCUUGGUCCCACCUGGGUGAACCGUAUGAGGAGAACAAUGAGCCUCUCUCAGAAUGUCUGCUCGGAUCUCAGAAUCCACAGGCACACACAAUCGGUCCCUCUACCGUAGUACUCCCGAACUGUCCAAAGCAAAACCCUCAGCCUGCCCCCUGUCUAGCUGCUCUCUAAUCCUCAACAAGUACGGAUCUCCACUCUGUUUCUCUCGGAUCCUAUCCAACAGAGUGGGCUGCAAAACUAGAGAUGUCAGCCUCGCUGUAGACCCGGGGGUACAAUCUCGAGUCCCAACCGCUGUAGCUCCUCGAGUAGGGGUCUCUGCUCAGUGAUCGUCAAACUCAGGCUCUGCACUGCUUUCCUGCUCAACGCAUCUGCCACUACAUUCGCCCGGCCGGGAUGAUACUAGAUACUAAUGUCGUAGUCCUUCAGUAAUUCUAACCACCGGCGCUGCCUCAGGUUCAGCUUCCUCUGUGUGAACAGAUACUUGAGACUUUUAUGAUCAGUAAAAAUCUCGCAGUGCUCGCCGUACAAGUAAUGCCGCCAGAGCUUCAAAGCAAAAACCACCGCGGCAAGCUCCAAGUCAUGUGUAGGGUAAUUCUUCUCAUAAUCCUUUAACUGCCGUGAAGCAUAAGCAAUCACCCUACCAUGCUGCAUCAGCACGCAACCAAGUCCACUGUGCGAUGCAUCACUAUAGAUCACAAAUCCAUCCUCCAUCACCAGAAGGGCAAGGAUAGGAGCCGACGUCAACCUCAGUCUUAACUCGUCAAAGCUCCUCUGACAGUCGUCGCUCCAGAUAAAACGAAUCCCCUUCCGCGUCAAGCAUGUGAGGGGUGUGGAAAGCUUCGCAAAGCCUUCCACAAACCGACGGUAAUAUCCUGCCAGUCCCAGGAAGCUCCGUACCUCAGUCACCGUCGUCGGUCUAGGCCAAUCUCGAAUCGCCUCAAUCUUCUUCGGGUCCACAGCUACUCCCUCAGCUGAAAUCACGUGGCCCAAGAAAGCAACCUCCCGUAGCCAGAACUCGCACUUCUUUAACUUGGCAUACGGCUUCUUCUCUCUCAGAAGCUAUAGCAUAAUCCUCAAGUGCUCCUCAUGCUCCGGAUCACUCCGGGAGUAAAUUAGAAUAUCGUCGAUGAAGACUACCACAAACCUAUCCAAAAACGGCUUGAACACUCUGUUCAUCAAAUCCAUGAAUGCGGCAGGGGCAUUCGUCAAUCCAAAAGGCAUCACCGUGAACUCAUAAUGCCCGUACCGAGUCCGAAAAGCCGUCUUGGGAACAUCCUCGGCCCUCACCCUCAGCUGGUGGUAACCUGACUGGAGAUCAAUCUUCGAAAAGACACAAGAUCCUUGCAGCUGAUCGAAUAGAUCAUCAAUGCGCGGCAGAGGAUACUUGUUCUUGAUGGUCACUUUAUUCAGCUCCCGGUAAUCCACACAUAACCUGAGCGAACCAUCCUUCUUCUUUACAAAUAACACCGGCGCUCCCCAAGGCGACACACUGGGUCUCACAAACCCUCUAUCCAUCAGAUCCUGAAGUUGCGCCUUUAGCUCUCUCAGCUCUGCCGGUGCCAUCCUGUAAGGUACCUUUGAGAUUGGUGCAGUUCCAGGAACUACAUCAAUCACAAACUCAAUCUCCCUCUCCGGCGGCAACGUCGUCAACUCAGGGGGAAACACAUCCGAAAACUCGCGGACUACUGGGAUGUCCUCGAGUCUCGGCGCCGCCGUAGGUACCUCCACAACUGUCGCUAGGAAAGCGAUACACCCGCUAUUCAGCAUCUGUCGAGCCCUCGCCGAAGAUAUCCAGGUGGCAAACAACGUGCUCCUGCAGCUUCUAAAAGUAAACUCCUCCUGGCCUGGCUCGCGGAACGUCACUGUCCUCGCUCCACAGUCGAUCGUAGCAUAGUACCGCGCCAGCCAAUCCAUACCAAGCACAACGUCGAAGUCCUGCAGCUGCCCUAACACCAACAGGUCUGCGGGCAUAAUCUACGAGUCUAGCUACAGCGGGCAUGACCAACAACACUCCACAACCUGCAAAACAUGGUCUGGGAUCUGCACCUCUCGUGUCUGAGACAACGCUCCUAACUCUAGACCAUGUAACUGUGCAAAUGCUCGGCUAACAAAAGAAUGCGAUGCACCGGUAUCAAAAAGAGUGCGAACUCUAAUGCCAGAAAUCAAGGUGAUACCUGCCACCACUCGGUCGGCUGCCAUAGAGUCCUCCACCUGGGCUGCGUAGACCCUGCCACUCGGAGCCUGUUGUCGCCGCUCACUCGACCGCGGCACAGACGAUCUGUCCUCCUGGCGGUAACUCGGUGCUGCUCCGUAAGACUGCUGUGGUGCUGGUGGUGCUGAAGCUGAUGAUGGUGCUGGAGAUGCUGCUCGGGGACAAGCUGCCCUCAUGUGUCCCGGCUGACCACAUGCGUAGCAUCUGCCCUCUCUCUGCUCGCACUGCUGGGGCCAGUGUGGUCCCCCGCAGAUCACACACUGUGGCGUCCUCUGAGUCUGCCCCUGCUGACGGGAUGCCUUGGAAUGCUAAGGCCCCGAAGACCCAUGACCCUGAAAACGUGAUCGUGAAGGCCUCGGCGGACGUCUGCUGCUCGAUUGUCCUCCGUCAUCCGGAAAGGGGCGCAUCCUGUCCUGACUCUGCCCCACGGCCUGAGUCCUCUCCUGCAGCGAUGCCUCACCUCGCUCCACCCACAAGGCCUGCUCUAUAGACGCAUCCAGAGUCCUCGACCUCUGCGUCCGAGUCAACCUGAAAAUAUCCGGUCUCAGCCCCUGCUCGAACAUGUAAACCCUGUGGGCCUCAUCUCUGGCCACAAAUGGCACGCAGUUCAGGAGUCGAGUAAACUCCCGAACGUACUCCUGCACUGGUCGAUCCCCCUGCUGAAGCCUCCUCAAAUCCUCCUCGAGCUUCUGCUUCACAUUGUUAGGAAAGAACAUCCCAAACAGCAUUCCACAGAACUCAUCCCAACUCAGCUGCAAUGCUACCAGUCCUUGCUCUCUCCGCACUCUCCUCCACCAGGCGUGGGCGUCACCUGCCAAAUAAUGGACUCCCAAAGACACCUGCUCCCCCUCAGGGAUGAAAAGAUCCUCGAAUAGCUUCUCCAUCGCACUGACCCAGCCCUCAACAACCCAAGCUUCAGUGCAACUGCCAUCAAAGAUCGGCGGAUCGAAACGGCAGAAACGGGCCAACCUCUCUGUCCACCGCUCCUGCUCGGCCUCUGUCAACUGAACCGGUCCCCUAGCUAGCGCAACUGGCGCGGCCGGAAACUCCGCUGAUGGGGGUACAGCUACGGCUGGUGCGACCACUGGAGUAGUCGGAGGCGAUGCUACAACGGCAACCGUACCCUCGAACGGCUCCUCGUGAUGCUACGACGGCAACCGUACCCUCGAACGGCUCCGCGGCGCGACGUCGGCGAAAAUCGAACUCCACCCAAGCUCCACCACCGCACUCGGUCACACACAAGGAGAAGAGAGAGAGAGUGCUGAAGUCAUCUCCUCUCUGCUCUCUCUCUAUCCUAAAUAGGAGGGAGAAGGAGUGGGUGAAAACAACGAGGGAAGGAAAGACCAAAAAGCCCCUUACCUAACCUGGUGUACCGGUACACGGGUCCCAGUAUCGGUACAGAAAGCCAACCCGAGAGUAGUACGCGCGCAACCUGUGCAGUGUACCGGUACACCAUGAUGGCUGUACCGGUACAGNAGAAAGCCAACCCGAGAGUAGUACGCGCGCAACCUGUGCAGUGUACCGGUACACCAUGAUGGCUGUACCGGUACAGCAAGCAGAAAAUCAACUUUUUACAGAUUUUCUUCGCUGAAAGCUGCCCGCGUGUCGCACGGAGCCCGUUUUGCGUCUAGUUGACGCCAACGCGACUCGGACUUGUCCCGACACUCUCCAGAGCUGCCGACAAGCCAUCACAACAGAACACCAGGGAUCUCACAAUAUAUAUGGAGUGAUCUUCUCUUUUUGAUAGCGAUGAACUAUAAACUAUGAAUCCAUUAUAAUUUCACCACUGUAAGAGUUAUGACUAUUGCAAUUAUAUAAUUACAUUUCGGAUAUUUGAACGAGAACUAUAGGAGUCGAUUAAGAUUUAGUUUGGUAUUGAGGCCUAGAUAACGCUAUUAGAUAAAAUGGAGUUGAGAAAAAAGCAUAUAAUAGGGAUAUCCUUCUGCGUUCUCCGGUGGGACCGCAGAAAAUAUAUCGUAACCGACUCAUCGCGAUAUGCGAAACCGAAUAUUACGUACGGAAACAAACAGAGUAUUUUUCUAACGUAUUUUCUCACCUCACAUAACGCAAUUUGCCCGUAAUUCCAAACGAAGCCUAAGAUACAGAAUCAAAAGCUGCUUGGGAGGCUAGAUUAAGGCAUUUAGAACGAUCCUCAAAUACACUUUUAUCGUGGUGUCAGACAUAAUCCGCAUUUUUCCAACAUCUACAUGUGAGAUAUAAUGUUAUUCAUAAUAAGACAAAUUAUGAUAAAAGUAGCAAAUAAACGCGCUUUUCUGCAUAUUGACAGAAAUAUAAUGUCAUUGUCAUAACACUGUAGUAAAUUCAGUAAGGUGACAAUAAUUUUGUUGGCAUUCGGUUAAACCAAAUCGGAUGCGCAUAUAAUCAGAUUCAAUUUGACAAUUAUUAUAUUAUUUAAUUGGAUUAGACUUAAUCUCACUUUUAAAUUAAAAAGCUAAUUAUAAUUAUAUUCUAGUCAAAAUAGGAUAAUAAUUAUAAACCAAUUCGACCUAAUUUUUUAUUGACCAUCUUGUGAGAAAGAAACCACAUCCUCCUAACGUAUUACUUCUAGGGUACGUUUGGUUCGAGUUAUCCUGGCAGGAUUACAUGUAAUCCUGUCAGGAUUACUGUAUUUGGUUCAUUCGUUAUAUAAUCUAGUCGUUAAUGUAGCAUUACAAAUCGAGCAGAAUUACACCGAAAAUAUUAACGAGAAGGGGUCGUGUAUCUGGCAUUACGGAAAACCGAUAAUACUACAUAUUAUGUAAAAUGACAAUUUUACCCACUAACUCUCGAAACCCUUUCAAUACGUUAUUUUAAAAUUUUAAUUUAAAAUUUUGAAUUGUCAACUUUUAAUUUUUAAUUUUUAAUUUUCAAAUUUAAAUUUAAAAAUUUUAAACUUCAAAUUUAAAUUUUAAAUUUUAAAUCUUAAAUUUUAAUUAAAAUUUUAUAUUUUAAAUUAUAAGUUUNNNNNNNNNNNNNNNNNNNNNNNNNAUAUUUAUAUUUUAAAUUAAAAUAUUAAAUUUAUAUUUUUGUUAAAAUUUAAAAUUUAAAAAAUUAAAUUAUUUAAAAUAAAAUUUGGUAAAAAAAUAUUGUUUGUAAACAAUUAAAAAAAAUUACGAAAUAUGACUAGAGGCAAUUUUGGAAUAAACUAUAUUUUAUUGUCUAGAUCACUAAAUUUUAUAGACAGAACCAAACAUAGAAAAGCUAUAAACACUGCAAUUCAGUAUUAUAUUACUGUAUUAAACCAAACGCACUAAUGCAGCAUUAGUAGUAAUCUCAUUUAGAAAUCUAAGAUACCUGAAUAUAUUGGAAUACUCUGUAAUAUUACAUAAUUCAAACCAAACGCGCCCCUAAAGGGUCUUGAACGGUGGAUUAAAGAUUUAGGGCAUGUUUGGUUUGCUUCUUUUUUACCUUGUAAUCGGAAUCGGAAUUGACAAAUUCGUUUAUGGGUGUUUGAUAUGCGGGAGUUCCAUUCCGAUUCUGAUUCCCGAGUGGAAUGGAAAUCCCCCAAUCGCCCUUUUUUUCAAUCCGGCCUACAAGGCCGGAUAGAAAGUUGAAUAAGAACGGAAUGGAUAUUUAUUUGAAUUAAAUUUAUUUUUUUAACUUUUUUUAAUUAAAAUAUGAGUUUAAAUUUAGAAAUUAAAUAUAUAAUUUUAAAUUUUAAUUUGAACUUAAAUUAAAAAUUAAAAUUUAAUCAAGUAUUUCGAAUCUAACUUAUGAAUUUGAAUUUAAAUUAAAUUUUAAUUUAUAUAAAGUUUUAUUCAAAUUUUAUUUAAAAUUUAAAUUAAAUUUAUGGAUUCAAAUUAAAAUCUAAAUUGUAAUUUUAAGUUUGAAUUUGAAUAAAUCAAAAUUUAGUUUUAUAUUUUGAAUCAUCCACUUAAUUUCAAAGUUUAAUUUUUUAAAAAAAGAUAGAUUUAAAAUUUUGACAUUAUUUCAAAAUUUUGAUGUAAAUUUUUAAUAUUUAAUUUUCAAUUUGAAUUUAAAUUAAUAUAUUAUAAAAAAAUAAGUUAGUAUAUUAAUUUGAUUACGUUUUUUAUAUCCACCUGAACCAAACACCGACAAUAUGAAUGAUUUAUUCCGAUUCCGAUUCAUAUGAUGAACCAAACAGAAUUAGAUAAUGAGUCAUUACGAUUCCGAUUCCAACUUAUUUUAAUUUCGAUUCUGAUUCUGAUUCCGACUCCGAACCAAACACGCUCUUAACUCGUAUGUAGUUCGUUCUACCAUAGGUUUCGAGAGUUAGAAAACCUUCGUGGGCGAUCCGAAGGCACAUGAAACAACUUGACAAUCUGAAAUUUAUCGCUUUUUAAUACAAGUCGCUUAUGCAAAAAACUAUGUACGAAUUCUUUCACUGCGUGUGUGAGACCCCAGAUAGUCCUAUAUAUAAGAUAUAAUAGGGCUAAACUCUUAACCCGGCUUAAGCAUUUUGGGUGGUGGCAAGGCCCAAGAGGUUAAGAGAGUUAAGCGUGCUAGGACGGGAGUAGUCCUAGGAUGGGUGACCCCCUGGAAAGUCGGGGCGUCACAGCGUGCUACAAAUUUAAUAUCAUAUAACAACUAGAUUAGUGAUUAAUUACCAUCUAAUUAGUAAGCAGUAAUCAAGAGUUUACGCCAAAACAUAAAAUGUAAGGCUUAAAAUGUCAUCAUCGUAGUUAUAAUUUAAGGACAAAAAGUGUAAAUUAGUCAUAUCUAAUUACUAUAAAUAAUUAUGAUUCAUUUAAUGUUUUAUAUUAGGGAAUCUAACUUGAUGUAACCGGUUGCAUCAUUAAGGACACGUGGAGCCCGCCGCACCGCUCUGCGUCCACCGACUAAGAAAAUCUAAGGCGGGCCCCACUAUUUUUAACUUCCCAAAGUUGCGUGAUUCUCCAUAGACCAACGAAACGUUGCCACGUGGGCAGAAAAGAGAAUGACGAAUUCAAAGUUAUUAUAGUUUUCUUGUUGCUGGCGAUGUAAGCUAUAAAAGUAGAUUUAUUUGAGCCAAAAAAAAAAAAAAAAACUAACUACAAAAUUUGAAUUAUUGAAAAAAAAAAGUAACAAGCUCUCCAAUGGUGGAGAAAGUCUACUCAGUCAGCAAACGAAACUUCAUUGGAGAUUGCAGAAAAAUUAUAUUACGUGCGGUAAAAAAAUACGAUAAAAAAUAUUAUUAUUAUUUUAUACAUAAUAUUAUAAUUUCGUCAAAAAAUACAGAAAUAUAUUACUAUAUACUUUUAUUCUAAUUCUAUUUUAUUUACUAGUGUUAGAUGAAUCUCAAUACUAAAUUAGGCCUAACAAGUCAAUCAUAUUUCUUUUUUAAAAUAAAAAGUAUAAUUAAAAUAUUUUUAAUAUUUAAUAAUGUGAUGGAUCAACUUAAAAAGUUUUGAUUUGAUUAGUUGGAUUUGAUUGGUUGGAGAUACCACAUUACGUAGGUUAGUGGUGCAUUAUAAAAUAUUUUUCAAUGAUGUCUCAUAAAGAAGCUUCAGUUCGUUGACAUAUGUCACUUUUAUUUUUAUUCAAAAAUUAUAAUUUUUUUAAAAUUAAUUUUUUAUUUAUUUUAAUUUUAAAAAGUACACAUCGAAUUAUUAAAUAAAGGUAAAACUAACACAUAACAAUAAAUCGAAUGUUACACAACAAGGCAUCAUUAGAAAGCUCCCUAUUGAAAUGUUAUCCCAAUUUAUUCUUAUUUUUAUAUAGCCAUCCACUUGCAUAAUUUGAACGGUAUAAAUGAUAUGAAAUUUUAUAUAUUAUAUUAAAAUUAAUAUUUAUUUUGCAUAAAAAUAUUUUUUUAAAAAAAAAUUUUAAGUUAUUUUUCUACGGCCUAGCGUAAUUUUAUUUUGUCAUCUUAUAAUUUAGAAAAUUAUAUUUAUGUAAUAAAAAUAAAAUCACAUGAUAAUUAAAGUGAAAAUGUACCAAACUAUAGCAUAGUUAAAUAUAACUUUUGAAUUAUAAGGUGACAAAAUAAAAAUAGGCUAAACUAUAGUGGAGUAAAGUGAAAUUUAUUUUUAUUUUAAUAAAAUUUGUAAUAAUAUUUAAUUUUAUUUAUUUUGUGGCUUUUAUUUUGUAGAGAGUUUAAUUAAAUUGAGAGAUCUUUAUUUACUAUUUGGUCAGAGUAUGUUAAGUACUUUUAGUCAUUAUAUUUUUUAUUUUGAUUGUUUGAGUGAGAUAUCAUAUCGAUAAUUAUAAUAAAUAUUUUUAAAUAUAAAAAAGAUGAUGAACAGAAAGUUUUACAUAAGGACAAUAAUCAAUUUUCUGUAACUUUUUUAAAAUUUACCAAAAGAAAUAUUUAUAUGAGUACGAUAAUUAAAUUAUUGUUUUGCCAUAUUAUUGGAUGAACCUAAUUGAGAUAAUAAUUAGAUAAUUUAUUGUGCUCACAUUGAAUGAGUACUUAAUUUAUAUUCUAUUAUUCAGCAUGUAACAAUCAUAAACAACUAUAGUAUACUAAUUUAUGCUGUGCACGGAUAGAUAAUUAGAGAAAAAAAUAGGACAAAAAAAAGGAAAAUAACGAUGAAAAAAUAGGCGAUAAAGGAUGAAAUUUAUUUUGUUGACGAAUGUAGAUAAUACUUAAAAAAAGCGGAAGAGAAAUUGUUCGGCCUAAUAUAAAGGUGUAAUCCGAUUCGGUUCAAAAAAAAGAGAAAAAUUCUGUUUGGUUCAAGUAAAGAAAGUAGAAAAUAUAUAGAAAAUUUAAGUUGGUGUAGAAGAACCGAUAUUCAAUAAAAAGCGGUUAAAUUCAAGUAAAGAAAAGAAAGAUUCGAUUCAAUUUAAGUUAAAAAGGAGAAAAAUAUAUAGAAAACUUAAAGCCGGUUGAGGAUUAAAGCUCGUACCUAAUAAUGAAGAGAAAAUUAUUAUAUGAUAAAUUUUAAAAAAUAAUAUAUUGAAAUAAAAAAUAUAGAUAUAAUAAAUAUAAAUAUAAAUAUAAAUAUAAAAAAAAUUUGUUCGUUUACAAUUUUUGUGAAACCCAUGCGUAAUUCCCCAUCGCUCUUCAACAAGCGCGCGAGUCUUGCAAGCCAAAAUCUCUCCCCGCGCGCAUCGGGCUCCCAAUAAAAUCCCACGCCCUCCCCCUCUCUCUACCUCCGCCAUUUUUCUAUUCUAUUCGCAGCACGAGAGAGAGAGAGAGAGAGAGAGAGAGGGAGGGAGAGGGCGAUGGGAGCGGAGCAACGAAGCUCGAACGACGUCGUCGCCGCGGCCAUGGAGAAGUCGAUCCGAGCAGGAGAGGAGGCGAGCGCUAAUGGCGGCGGCAGCGGGGUCGUCGUCCCCGCGCGGAUCCCGUCGUCCUCGCUCGCCAUCGACAUCUCCCUCCCGCUCCACGAGAUGAAGCCGCGGAUCAUGUAAGGGCCCCGGUGCCGGAUCGAUCUCCGCCUCUCUCGUGCUUUUCGGAGAAUUAGGGUUCGCGCGGGUUUUGCUCCGCCCGAUGUGAUUUGAUUUUGGUGAUGUUCGGAUCGUGGAUUUUGGGGCAUUUUCGUUGUUUUCUUUUUCUUGGUUGAUUAAGUGGUGAGAUCUUUUGCUGCUUUGCUUAGAAAUUGUGGGGGAUUUGCUCGAUGAUUCGUUUGAGAUUCAUAUGAUACAGUUACUGGACAUAGGAAGAAACUAGCAUAGUAAUUGAGGUAUUUUCUGUUUAUGUGAGUAAUUCGAUAUUUAGAGAAUUUUUGGAGUCCAUUCGUGUGCGAGGACGUUGCCCAAAGAAACUAGCUCAAAUCAUUUAGAAAUUUCUUGCAGAAGAGGAAGCAAAGAAAUUUGUGUUUGAGGUGGCUUAUAUGUUUGAAACUGUGACAUUAGUGAAAUCGCAUCCUUAGAUAUGGUUGACAUCUGUUUUGCACAUUUUUCUACUUCUUCUCCCGCAAUUUCGGAUGCCUCAGCUACUUUGGCUUCUAGAAAGUUCUGGAAAUAACACUACAUGACAGUAUAUAUUCAAGAAUCAAGACUGACAUUCAGAAGAGAACAUGAAAUGAUUUAGUAGGUGAUUUUAAGAAAAGUUAACUAGUGACCUCAAAUCCAGGAAUGAAGAAGGGAGGAAAAGUUUGUCAUUAUCCAUCAGCGGUCAUUUUGAAGAACUAAGAGUAUUCUAGUUUGAUGAAACAUUUCUUUUAAGGAAUGCCUUUCAAAAGACAAUUGGCUUUGUGUGCAGUUAGAGCCGAUCAAAAUUGGGAAAUCCUCAAAAAAGCGUUGGCAUGUCUCUAUAAUCGUCAACUUGAGUUCAAACUUUGUUAAUCAUUUUGCAGCUUAAUUUUUACCUUUUUACUAAUGAUGACUUGUUGGAUCACCUAUGGUGCAUAUAUGUUCAGUCAAUUUGCUUUUUAGUGAAUAAGAUACACCUAUAUUUUAUUCUUGACUUAAAUAUGAGGGUGUUUUUCUCAGAGACCUGUGCAAGGAUUUGUUCAAAGAAUGGUCUUCUCUUGACAACUCGCGCGUCUCCAUUGAGACGGUCUCUGGCGGUAUCACAAAUCUCUGUGAGUUCUGCUCCUUGAGAUUUUCACAUUUUGUAAUUCCCUUGUUAUUCUUUCGGCAACCAAAUCCAAAGGCUAUCACAUCCUUGUUUCUGUGGAAUUAUAAUGAUAAGAGAUGAUAUUGUCAUUUUGAGAUCAUUUUGCUGAACAAGAUGAGACUCGUAUGGUUUUUGGUCGGUUCGAUAAUUGCUUGUCAAACAUAAUCUGUCAAUUGAUAGAAGGGACAUGCAUAGGAAGGUGGAUUUCGUUGGACAAUAAUAGCACUAUAAAAUUGUUAUGCUUGUGUUGUCUGUGUUUUCGACCAAUACACUAUGGUUGGACAACAUAUGAGCAUGUCCUAAUGCAGAUACAUUUUACUUUGACAUUUUCCCGCGAAAUAUGUAUGCUGCUAUGUGGCUAUCACAUGUGUGCUUAGUACAGUUUGCAGCAUCCGCCAGUGUUAAUAGCAUUCUGUUGUGUGUUGCCACUAAUAAGAUACUAGACAAAGCUAGAUAGUCAUAGUUUAGCGUCCUCUAUCAUUAACAGACCUUUUGUUUGAUUUUAAUGUGAAUAUUGUUCACUUAAUAGUGCGAAACCUAAUUAACGACAUUUGGUCUUCAUUUCUUUAGUGCUGAAAGUAUCUGUGAGAGAAGAUAGUGCUGCUGAUUCUGUUUUGACUAUACGGCUUUAUGGCCCGAAUACAGACUUUGUGAUCGAUCGCAAGAGAGAGUUGAAGGUUAGUGCUCUAAAUUUUGGCUUAUGAAAUUUUUAAGUUUUGGGUAAUUGCAUCAUCUGGAAGUUUUGCAAAUGAACUAAUAUUCAUUUAAAUGCUAUGCCAUCUUUUCCCAUUGAUAUGAGCACUAGAAGCUUUGUACAAUCUUUUUGGGACUUUUUGAAUUGUUGGCAGUGAGAUCUGAUACUGUCUAUUUUCUUUAAAACCUCUGAUCUUUGAUUGUAUCUUUAGAUGAUAGUGAUAAACUGAUAAAACUGAUAAUAGCUUAGCACAUUUGCUUUUUAAGGGGUUGUAAAGAGAAGGCUUGGUGUAGCACCUUGGAAAAUUGAUCUUAGAUGGUAAUACUAUGUAAGGAUGAUAGGGAUGGAUUUACUCAUCUUUAGAAUUUAUUACUUGAUUAUUUCCCAUUCUUAGUCAUAUAAUAUCCUAGGAUGAAAUUGUGGUCAGAUUAACAACAAAGUUUCUUGCCAAUGAAUUUACUCAUAUUUCCUGUGUUGAACCAAUAUCUUGGUUUGCAUUUAUAUUGAGUAGCUUUUGAUACUAGAAGGUGUUCUUAGACGUUUGCAUUAGAGCUAAAUGCCAAUGACAUUUUUAAUUUCUCAGCCUUUUCUUCUAUUCUGCUACUAUUACUUAUUUUACCAAAGACUCGUUAGAAUCUCAAGUUGAUAUAUUGGCUAAUCUGUGCUUUUGUUUCUCUGGAAACUCUUGGAAAGCUUACAGCAAUGGCCAUUCCUUACAAAUUGAAUUUUAUGGGGGUUUGAGCAAACUCCACAACUCACUUUUUCGAUCAAUUUUUCUUGUUCAUCCCUCUUGUUCCUUUGUUCAUUUUUACAUCAUCUAUGUUAAACAUCUUAGCAGACUUUCUAAAUAACUAAAUAUAUACUUUAUAGAAUUAGGUUUUACUAGAGCUUAACAGUUACCAUUAUCAUGGCCAGGCCAUACCAUAUCUCUCAGCUGCAGGGUUUGGCGCUGAACUGCUUGGAAUAUUCAAAAAUGGAAUGGUUCAGUCAUUUAUCAAUGCUCGGACACUCUCACCCUCAGGUAAGCAUUUCUUUAUCUUUAUUAAACUGCCAAUGAAAAUGGAUGAAACAAUACCUUCUCGACGAUUUUUAUUUUUCCUUUAGUAGAUAAAACUUUGCUUAUGGCGGUAAAUCUAGUUCAAGUUGGCUCUUUAUGCUCCCAGGUGGUUAAUUUUUAAGGUUCUGUUUUAGAAUAUGAGCGUCUGAGUUCUGAGCUCUAAUAGCCUUAAGCUAAUGAGUGCUGUUCUGCUGGAUGAUGGAAUCUGGAUCAGUAAUCUAUUCCAAAUAGUCAUCGUGUAUGAAUUGCUAGUCUGUUGACUCGUGUAUCAUCAGAACCCAAAGAAGUGCCCCUCUCUCUUGCUCCCUCUCUCUCCCGUAUGAAUGCGAUUAGAUCAUGGGCUAUGGUCAAUUUCUCUUUUCUUUUUUGAGGGAAAAAAAAAAAAAAAAAACCAGAUGAGGGACAAAAUCCAAGUUACUUAUCCGGAGAGGGUGUCAUCUCUUUUAUGUUAGCUAAUAGCUAGGUAUAUUUGUUUCCAGAGCCUUUUGAAUUAAUUGCUCUUAAUGCUGCUAAUUCUCUCUACCACGUUUUAGGAUGGUGAACAAUAUACACUGGUUAAACAGUUAUUAAUAAACCAUUCUAAUGUGACUAAUCCUCUAGGCAUCUGUUACAUUGGUAUGAGGGGUUACUUAUAUGCAAUGUGACUUUGUGUGUUAGAUGUUACUAAUACUUCCAUUUAUCUAAAUGCUACUGCCUUAUCUGUUCCCUUCGUUCCCUUGUUUUCCUAUAUAAUGUAUUGAUCCUUGUGCUUUUGUUCAACUAAUGAUAUAUUAACUUGCCAGCUUGACAACCUCAAGAGGCUGCUGCAUAACUCUUGUUAAUGUAUUUAUACAUUUUCAGACAUGAGCAACCCAAAAAUUGCUGCUGCAAUUGCCAGGGAACUUCGCAAGUUCCAUCAAGUGGACAUACCAGGUUCUAAAGAGUCACAACUGUGGAACGAUAUCUUCAAAUUUCUCAAGCAAGGUUGUUAACAGUACUCUUUUUUUUUUUUUUUUUCCUUAACAUAAUUACUUGAAUAAAGUAAUCCAUAUGAGUUUGGCCUUAUAUCAUUUGGAUUCAUUUUGUUCCUUGUGAUAGCUUUUCUGUUAGCUGAAAAACAAGGUUUGAUUGCAGCUGCGGUGUUAAAGUUUGAUGACAGUGAGAAGCAGGCUAAGUAUGAAGCAAUCUCAUUUGAUGAGAUACGUGAGGAAAUAAAUAAACUCAAGGUGUUCUUUCUAUUUGCUUAUGUUGUUUCCAUCUUCCUUCUUGUUGCAAUUUCAUAUUUGAUUUGAAUGUUCAAUGUUUGAUGUUUUAAUAUUGGCUAUCAUUACAAUGAUGAAUCUCCUGAUCUUUAUUUUAUGGUUGCAUUUUUCGGUAGGAUCUCACAGAACUUCUGAAUGCGCCAGUUGUUUUUGCCCACAAUGACUUGCUUUCAGGAAACUUGAUGCUAAACGAUGAGGAAGGUAGUUCCUUUUCUACUUUUAUUGAUAUUUAUGUCUCCACUAUAUUAUAACAAAAUGAUGCUGCAUUAAUGUCUCGUCAAAUAUUUUUUUUAUUCAUCUUAUCUUUGAGAAAAUUGACCUCACUUUGUUGUUCUGUCACAUAACUUUCACAGAAAAACUCUACUUCAUCGACUUCGAGUAUGGAUCAUAUAGCUAUAGAGGAUACGACAUUGCAAAUCACUUCAAUGAAUAUGCAGGCUUUGACUGUGACUACAGCUUGUAAGUUGCAAUCUUCACUGCAAUCACUUAUAUCUUUGUAACAAAAGAAGACAUGAUUUGACAGUUACGCACUAUCAUCCAUUAGCCAAGUAAUGUGCUGUUUGCAUGUGGCAUGAUGUAGGUAUCCAGAUAAGGAUAGACAGUAUCAUUUCCUCAGGAGCUAUUUGCAACCUGAUAAACCAGAUGAGGUACAAAUUUUAUUGUUGGACUUUACCUGCUGUUAAUAAUAUAAUCUGAAAGAAUAUGAAAAACAAUAAUGAUUCGUUGGUCAACAUUAAUAAUAUUAUUGAAAAAUGUAAGAGACCUCUCUUGUUAAUUUGUUUUUCAUAAUAAAUUUGUUGGUCAACAUUAAUCAUAUUAUCGAAAAAUGUAAAAGAUCUCUCUUGUUAAUUUGGUUGUGCCAAUCUGCUCAUUUGGAUGAUAUUUAGUUGAAUUUAAUAUAGUGUUGCUCCGUUCACUAUAGCCACUGCAGUUCACCUUAAUUAGCAUUAAAGAAGUUUUUUCUGUUUGGCUUGAUUUGUUGAUUACACCUUGAUGUUUUUUCUGCACUGUAACUGUCAAUUUCCACCAAGAGCUGUUUCUUCUUUCUAGAAUGUUCUAGGAUGGUGCUUAUGGAUUCUUAUGAGAAUUGGAGGAAAAUAUUUUUCAUCUUCAAUAUUUCUUUUUCUAGUCUUUAUCUUUUAUAACAAUUUUUGUUCUCAAAGCACUCUGUUUCUAACAGGUGCCAGACAAAGAUCUUGAAGCCCUUCACAUUGAAACAAAUACCUUUAGGCUAGCAUCGCACAUUUAUUGGGCAUUGUGGGCUCUUAUCCAGGUGACUCUUCAUCAUUAUUGUAUAAAAACACCAGGAUCCGUUCUUAAUUUGCAGCGUCUUUUCUCAAAAGUUGUCCAAAAUUCAUACUACAGGAACUUAACUAUAUUUCCUAUCAAAAAUGUAGGCUAAGGUGUCGCCGAUCGAUUUCAACUAUCUCUCUUACUUUUUCCUUCGUUACGAUGAAUACAAGAAGCAGAAGGAAGUGUGUUUCUCCUUGGCGCAACUAUAUCUUUCUGGUUCGGGCUCCGGCUGAUUAACUUGACAACAUCUUACAUUGUUGUGUUUGUAACAGUCCAAUUGUUUGUACAACAUAUUUUUUGUAGCCACAAGGGUAUGAAACCAACAAUAGCCUAUUGCGUCUAGAUUGCUGCUGUAUUUUUUUUUUUUUCCCUUUUUACCUCAUUCGAAGCAGAAUGUUCUAUGGCUCUUGCAUCUAGAUUGCUGCUGUAUUUUUUUUUUCUCCUUUUUACCUCAUUUGAAGCAGAAUGUUCUACGACAUAAAUAGCAGAAUAGAACAGUUAUUGAGAUCUUUGUAAUCAGAGUUCAUUUCCCAUAUUCUUUGGUUUUGUUUCCCAUAUAAAUUUGUAGAAAUUUGUGGCAGAAACUGAUGUAAGGGUUUGGAUCCUUGCAAGUUUAUUUUUCGUAAAUUUUCGUUCAGUUUUAUCUCGUUAAGAUAAGUCUUCUCGAUCAAGAGUGAAUGAUCUACGAUCAAAGGAACCUUAAUUUAUUUCUUCCAGGUGUCAAAAUUGUAUCUUUGCAUAUGUUAUGUGAUGACAAUUAUGUUGCCAUUUCAUUCAUUGUUCUUCAUUACACAAAUAUUACUUUGCAAUUCCGCCAUGGAAGCACUUUCUAUUGAUCCAGUGCGACGAAAUAUCGGAUUUGUAGCUCUUCUUUCUAUUGAUCCAGUGCGACGAAAUAUCGGAUUUGAAGCUCUUUAUAGGAUACCGUAUUGUGUGUGAAAGUGUGUGAUAUUAUUAUUGUUUGUAAAAUUCUGUGUACUUGAAAUCGUCAUUCAAAUGUGCUAAGCUUAAUAGUAAAUUUUCAAGAGUAUAUGGUAAAUUUCUCUUAUAGCUGAUAAGAGUCCAAUGGGGAUGCUUUCUUUUUCUUUUUUUGGGAAAAAUUUACUAUAGGAAGUCAUCUUUUUUAUCUUCUAAAGUGCAUAAGGCUAAUAUUUCUAGAUACCAUGAAUUAAACAAAUUAGAUUUUUUUUUUUUUUUUCGUUUUUGUGGAUAUUGGAGAUUGAAUAUAACUUCAAAAAAAUUAUAUCCGUCAGUAUUUAUUUCAACACUAAAGUUGUAAGAUCAUCUGUACUCGCACUUAUAAUAGUAUGUAGAUUGGCCUUGCGAUUUUAGCGGGAUGGGAGGCAAAGUUGAGUUCGCAAAACUCGCAAAUUUAUUGCUCUCCGACUUUCAGUUUCCAAACAAACAAUCCCUUCUCUCCCAAAAGAAAAUGCCAUGGUACAGAAUGCAGAACUCAGAAACAGCCGCUGCACAUCAGAUUUGCUUGGUAUCUCAUUGCUGCUAUUCAUACAUAUCAUCUUGACAAUAUCAGAUAUCAUAACACUUUGCCAGACUCUUGGAAGAGCUGAUCUAAUAAAUUCAAUGGACCAUCAGGCACACAAAAUUGACAGUGGAAACAGGGACCCAAAUCACCAAACCACUCUUAACUACAUGAAGUAGAAUAUGGAAAAUUUCUCAAGGUUGUGAUCAAACACCGAUAAUAUGGACCUUUAUCCUGUUACCUGUAUCUUGGAUUCAUGAAGCUUGCUACGAAAUGUCGCAAAUGAAAAGAAAGAGCGAUGCGCUGCAACGAGAAGGAACAUAAAUCAAAAUGACAGCUGAAUAACUGAAAUUAGACAUAAAUAUAAAACAGGCUGAAGAAAAAAGUAUAAAAGAUGACUUUGAUAGUCUGAAUUACUACCUAGAUACGUAAUCUAUUCAGAUAUGCUGACUGAAAUGAGCUGCAAGUUAGCAGUUUUACCUUUUGGAGAUUUUCCAGAUGGAUGAUCCUCCUGCAGCGCUAAAUUUACAGCUGAGAUGGGCAUCGAGUUGCAUAAUGCGUGAUCUGCAAAACAGAAACUAACUGGAUUAAUGUAUCCAAGAAUCUAAACUAGCAACUAUAGAUGAAUCCUUAGAGCCUCAUAAUGAUAACAACUGAUAGUUUAGCAGUGGCAUGAAGCUUCAACUUGUAUAAGUGUACAACAAUGUGUUUCAGGGGGGAAAAAAAGCACUUAACAAAGUACUGUGGCAAUAAAUUAAAUUCAUAAUUCUCAAACUUCCCAUAUAAAUACUGCAAAUUUUGCUUCAAAAGUUAAAAUUCAAGCAAGAUUACGGAUGUGAUGGAACCAGAAAACAAAAGAAACAGUAUAGAAAGGGCCAGAAGCAUACCUUGUUUGGAGAUGAAGAGAUCCUUCUCACUUAGGCCAUUCAAAGCAGGAGUAGAGCAUCCCACAAUAUGCUUCUUCAAAUCAUUGGAUGAGAAAUUUAAUAGUUCAUGGACAUGCUCUUUAUCCUCAUCACCUACAGAAGAAUUGGUCGCGGAAAUGGUGCUCUCUCUCCCUUUGCUCUUCCUGCCUAAAUUCAAGAACCUCCUCAACCCUUUCGCGACAUCCUUUUGUGAUUCCCCGCAAGUAUUAGAAACAAGAACUGGCUUCUCAGUAGUUUCGCUUUUAUUUCUGGCUAGGAGCUGAGAAUCAGCGUAUCGUGAACCAACAGAGGGAGAAUCCACUGAUUCAUCUCUCCCUGAUCCAUUAGAAAGAGAAGAGUCGACGUUCGAGUACCAAGAUCCUGAGCUUUCUCCCGAUGAUCCACGGACCUUCUCGGUUGAAUCAAACUUGGAAUGAGAAGUAAUAGAUCGAUCGUUUUCUUCAUUGAUGGGUACAUAUGUGCCACGAUUAUGUGAUCUUGGAUCAAUAGAUUUGAGUGAUACUUCAUCAAAAUCAGCGGAGAAUUCUAAGGCUUUAAGUUCCUCGACUGAUUUCAGAAGUUCUUCAGAUAUGCCAACCAUAACCAAUUCAGAAUCUCCAUCCUUCUGAGUCUCAGAAACUUGAAAGGCUCGCAGUUUAGCUAUAGAAGCACCUGCACCAGGACCAAUGCCACUGCCUCUCCGCAAAAACGGCUUCGACGAACCGCUCUUUUGGAUUUCAACAAGAACAGUUUCCUCAUCUUGUUGUUUCGGUGGACUUCUUGCAGCGGCUGGAACGACACACUCGAACUCACUCGAACUAGCCAAACUAUUCCUCCUAGAGUGCGAUCUCGCCGGCUUUUUCGGCUUGAGAGAGCUUACUUGUUCACUUGCGCUUUUGCUUCGAGCUAAAAGGCUCGACGAUGGCACUCUAUUUUCCUUUCUGAGGUCCGAGACGUUGUGAACUGAGUUUGUUUCAACUUGGACCCUUCUUUUCACUUGAUUAGAAUACGAAGGCCUCGGAACGUGCGAAAUAGGACUUCGAGAGAUCGAGGAAGAAGCGCUUCUACUAAACGACGGAAUUUUUGUGCUUGUGCUUCUUGGAGUGGCGUCGCAACUCGUUCUCACAUCAUGAAGGGAGACAGCUUUCUGCUGCAAAUAUUAGAGAAUCUGAUAUCAAAACUUGUUAUUCAGAAGAUAUGAUCAUAUAAUCACUGCCUCUUUUGUUAUGUUUAUAAUCAGGUGAUUGCUUUGUAAGAUUCGCAGCACAACAAACCAGAAAAAGAUCAAUAAAAUCUUAUGUGACAGGUACAAACUCACGAGAACUGAUAAUUUGAAUACAACAGCAACAGAGCCUUUUCUCUAAAAUAAUGCAAAAUCUUCAACUCAUUGGCAAGAAUACGUAAUCUUUCUCUUUUUUAAAAAAAAAAUUCUUGCUUUUACUUUUAUGUAUAAAAAUAUUUUUUGGUCAAUUUGCAUAAAAAAUCCACUUAUUUUGGACUUUUGCAAAACCGGGCCUCCUUUUUCGUUUUUGCAGAUUCGGUCCGCUUUUUCAGCAAACUGACCAAAAUACCCUUAUACCUUUUUCUCUUUCCUCUUUCUCUCUCCUCUUUGUUUCUCUCGUUCUUUUUUCUUUCUCUUCCCAAAGAGCGGCGGAGACGGAGCGGAGGCGCCCUUAUACCUUUUUCUCUUUCCUCUUUUUUCUCUCGUUUUUUUUUUUUCUUUCUCUUCCCAGAGAGCGGCAGAGACAGAGCGGAGGCGGCCUGCUUCGAUUUUGUCCAGCGCAUCCUUACUCUCACCCGCACACCCCCAUCUUCCUCGCCUCCGAUCCCGCCGAGGCCGCGCCGCGACUCUUUUUUUUUUUUUACCUCUCCGACUCUCCUACACUGUCUCCGACGACGACGCCUCUCUUGCCCUUCUCCGCCCUUCUCGUCCUCUCCCUCUCCCUCCUCCUCUGCCGCCUCCGACGACGAUGCAUCUUCGCCGGCGCCGACGCCGACACCGUGGAGGUUACUGCGGCGCUGCAGCCUCGGAGCGGGGGUUCUUAGCGGCGUCGUCGCCGGCGCUGUGACCGUUAGCAGAGAGAGGUGACCAAAAAAAUAAUAAAAGAAGUAAGAAAAAAAAAUAAAGAUAAAAACUUAUAGAAAAAGAAGGAUAAAGAUGAAAUUCCAUCGUUAAUUGCAAAAAAAAUUAUAAGUUGCAUUCCUUAAAAUGUAAACUGCAGCUUUAAGAUGAAAAUUACACUCUUUAAACGAAAAUUACACUCUUUGGGAGAUAUUUACACUAUUUUUUCUCUUAUUACACUCUUUCAGAUAUAAACUGCAUCCAUUAAGAUGAAAGUUACACUCUUUAAAUGAAAGUUGCACUGUUUCUCCUCUUGUUGCACAAUUUCUCCUUUUGUUACACUGUUUUUUAUCUUAAACUGCACCCCUUUAAGAGAUAUUUAUACUGUUUCUACUCUUGUUGCACUGUUUCUACUCUUGUUGCACCAUUUCUCCUCCUGUUACAUUAUUUUUUAUCUUAAACUGCACCCCUUUAAAAGAUAUUUUUACUAUUUCUCCUCUUGUUGCACUAUUUCUUCUCUUGUUACACUGAGCAUAAGAGGAGAAAUAGUGCAACAAGAGAAAAAACAGUGCAAUAAGAGGAGAAACAGUAUAAAUAUCUUUUAAAGGGGUACAAUUUAAGAUAAAAAACAGUGUAACAGGAGGAAAAAUGGUGCAACAAUAGGAGAAACAAUGCAACAAGAAGAGAAACAGUAUAAAUAUCUCUUAAAGGGGUGUAGUUUAAGGUAAAAAAUAGUAUAACAAGAGGAGAAAUGGUGCAACAAGAGGAGAAACAGUGCAACUUUCGUUUAAAGAGUGUAACUUUCAUCUUAAUGGAUGCAGUUUACAUCUGAAAGAGUGCAAUAAGAAGAGAAACAGUGUAAAUAUCUUUCAAAGAGUGUAAUUUUCGUUUAAAGAAUGUAAUUUUCAUCUUAAAGCUGCAGUUUACUUUUUAAGUAGUGCAACUUAUAAUUUUUUUGCAAUUAACAAUGCAAUUUCAUCUUCAUCCUUCUUUGUAUAUAAUUUUUUAUCUUUAUUUUUUUCUGUUUUUUCUAUAAAUUUUUUUUGUCACCCUCUCUGCCAACAGCCACAGCGCCGGCGACGACGCUGCUAAGGACCCCCCUCCUCCGAGGCUGUAGCGCCGCAGUGACCUCCACGGUGUCGGCGUCGGCACCGACGAAAAUGCAUCGUCGUCGGAGGCGAUAGAGAAGGAGGGAAAGGGAGAAGCGAGAAGGGCGGGGAAGAGCGAGAGAGGUGUCGUCGUGGGAGACGGUGAGGGAGAGUCGGGGAAGAAAAGAAAAGAAAAAAAUUAAAAAAAAAGUCGCGACGCGGCCUUGGCGGGGUCCGAUGCGAGGAAGGUGGGGGGGUGCGUGGGCGAGGGCAAGGCCGAGGGCGAGAGCAUGAGGGUGAGAGGCGAGGCGGAUCGUUUCCGCCUCCGCCUCUGCCUUCGUUACUUUUUCGGCGAGAAAAAAAAAGAACGAGAGAAACGAAGAGGAGAGAGAAAGAGGAAAUAGAAAAAGUAAUAAGGG
rnacentral:lncRNA from 1 species